rnacentral:rRNA from 1 species
UACGUAGGAGGCAAGCGUUGUCCGGAAUUACUGAGCGUAAAGCGCGUGUAGGUGGUGGGACAAGUCUGCUGUGAAAGCGCCUGGCUUAACCGGGCGAGGUCGGCGGAAACUGUCCGACUCGAGGACGGUAGAGGGGGGUGGAAUUCCCGGUGUAGUGGUGAAAUGCGCAGAUAUCGGGAGGAACACCUAUGGCGAAGGCAGCUCGCUGGGACGUUACUGACGCUGAGACGCGAAAGCGUGGGGAGCAAACAGG